AUUGAACGCUGGCGGCAGGCCUAACACAUGCAAGUCGAGCGGAUGAAGGGAGCUUGCUCCUGGAUUCAGGGCGGACGGGUGAGUAAUGCCUAGGAAUCUGCCUGGUAGUGGGGGAUAACGUCCGGAACCGGGCGCUAAUACCGCAUACGUCCUGAGGGAGAAAGUGGGGGAUCUUCGGACCUCACGCUAUCAGAUGAGCCUCGGUCGGAUUAGCUAGUUGGUGGGGUAAAGGCCUACCAAGGCGACGAUCCGUAACUGGUCUGAGAGGAGGAUCAGUCACACUGGAACUGAGACACGGUCCAGACUCCUACGGGAGGCAGCAGUGGGGAAUAUUGGACGAUGGGCGAAAGCCUGAUCCAGCCAUGCCGCGUGUGUGAAGAAGGUCUUCGGAUUUUAAAGCACUUUAAGUUGGGAGGAAGGGCAGUAAGUUAAUACCUUGCUGUUUUGACGUUACCAACAGAAUAAGCACCGGCUAACUUCGUG
rnacentral:rRNA from 1 species